rnacentral:rRNA from 1 species
CAGUAGCCACGGUAAUACGAGGGGGGCAAGCGUUGUUCGGAUUUAUUGGGCGUAAAGGGUGCGUAGGCGGUUUGGCAAGUCUUGUGUGAAAUCUAUGGGCUCAACCCAUAGCCUGCACGAGAAACUACCGGGCUUGAGUGAUGGAGAGGUGAGUGGAAUUUCCGGUGUAGCGGUGAAAUGCGUAGAUAUCGGAAGGAACACCUGUGGCGAAAGCGGCUCACUGGACAUUAACUGACGCUGAUGCACGAAAGCUAGGGGAGCAAACAGGAUUAGAGACCCCAGUAGUCCCUGUCUCUUAUAC